rnacentral:rRNA from 1 species
AGGGUUUGAUCAUGGCUCAGAACGAACGCUGGCGGCAUGCCUAACACAUGCAAGUCGAACGAAGUCUUCGGACUUAGUGGCGCACGGGUGAGUAACAUGUGGGAAUCUACCUAAAGGUUCGGAAUAACUACGGGAAACUGUAGCUAAUACCGGAUGUGUCCGUAAGGAGAAAGAUUUAUCGCCUUUAGAUGAGCCCGCACUGGAUUAGUUUGUUGGUGAGGUAAGAGCUCCACCAAGACUACGAUCUAUAGCUGAUUUGAGAGGAUGAUCAGCCACACUGGGACUGAGACACGGCCCAGACUCCUACGGGAGGCAGCAGUGGGGAAUAUUGGACAAUGGGGGAAACCCUGAUCCAGCAAUGCCGCGUGAGUGAAGAAGGCCUUCGGGUUGUAAAACUCUUUCAUCAAUGAAGAUAAUGACAUUAAUUGAAGAAGAAGCUCCGGCUAACUCCGUGCCAGCAGCCGCGGUAAUACGGAGGGGGCUAGCGUUGUUCGGAAUCACUGGGCGUAAAGCGUAUGUAGGCGGAUCAAAAAGUUAGAUGUGAAAUCCCUGGGCUCAACCCAGGAACUGCAUUUAAAACUAGUGAUCUAGAAUUUGGUAGAGGUUAGUAGAAUUUCCAGUGUAGAGGUGAAAUUCGUAGAUAUUGGAAAGAAUACCGGUGGCGAAGGCGACUAACUGGGCCAUUUUUGACGCUGA